CCGCACGCGCGCUCUACUGACCGGCGCAACGAGUUUAUUUCCUUGGCUCGACAGGCCUGGGUAAUCUUCGAACGCCGGUCGUGAUGGGGAUAGAUCCUUGCAAUUUUUGAUCUUCAACGAGGAAUUCCUAGUAAAUGCAAGUCAUCAUCUUGCGUUGAUUACGUCCCUGCCCUUUGUACACACCGCCCGU
rnacentral:rRNA from 1 species